UUGGAGGGCAAGUCUGGUGCCAGCAGCCGCGGUAAUUCCAGCUCCAAUAGCGUAUAUUAAAGUUGUUGCAGUUAAAAGCUCGUAGUUGAAUUUCGGGGUCAGCAGGUUGGUCGUGCCAAUGGUAUGAACUGGCCUUGCUGAUUCCUCCCUCUUGAUGAGCCGUAAUGCCAUUAAUUUGGUGUUGCGGGGAAUCAGGACUGUUACUUUGAAAAAAUUAGAGUGUUUAAAGCAGGCAAGCGCUUGAAUACAUUAGCAUGGAAUAAUGAAAUAGGACGUUUGAUCCUAUUUUGUUGGUUUCUAGGAUUGACGUAAUGAUUAAUAGGGAUAGUUGGGGGCAUUAGUAUUCAAUUGUCAGAGGUGAAAUUCUUGGAUUUAUUGAAGACUGACUACUGCGAAAGCAUUUGCCAAGGAUGUUUUCAUUAAUCAAGAACGAAAGUUAGGGGAUCGAAGACGAUCAGAUACCGUCGUAGUCUUAACCAUAAACUAUGCCGACUAGGGAUCGGAUGAUGUUAAUUUUUUAAUGACUCAUUCGGCGCCUUACGGGAAAC
rnacentral:rRNA from 1 species